CGCACGGGUGAGUAACACGUAUCCAACCUGCCGUCUACUCUUGGACAGCCUUCUGAAAGGAAGAUUAAUACAAGAUGGCAUCAUGAGUCCGCAUGUUCACAUGAUUAAAGAAUUUCGGUCAUCGAUGGGGAUGCGUUCCAUUAGGUUGUUGGCGGGGUAACGGCCCACCAAGCCUUCGAUGGAUAGGGGUUCUGAGAGGAAGGUCCCCCACAUUGGAACUGAGACACGGUCCAA
rnacentral:rRNA from 1 species